AUUGAACGCUGGCGGCAUGCCUUACACAUGCAAGUCGAACGCGAAAGGGGGGCAACUCCUGAGUAGAGUGGCGCACGGGUGAGUAAUGCAUCGGAACGUGUCCUGUAGCGGGGGGAUAACCUAGCGAAAGCUAGGCUAAUACCGCAUACGUACUACGGGAGAAAGUGGGGGAUCGUAAGACCUCACACUAUAGGAGCGGCCGAUGCCGGAUGAGCUAGUUGGUGGGGUAAAAGCCUACCAAGGCGACGAUACGUAGCUGGUCUGAGAGGAUGAUCAGCCACACUGGGACUGAUACACUGCCCAGACUCCUACGGGAGGCAGCAGUGGGGAAUUUUGGACAAUGGGGGAAACCCUGAUCCAGCCAUGCCGCGUGAGUGAAGAAGGCCUUCGGGUUGUAAAGCUCUUUCGGCCGGGACGAAAUCGCACGCGUGAAUAUCGCGUGUGGAUGACGGUACCGGAAGAAGAAGGACCGGCUAACUACGUGCCAGCAGCCGCGGUAA
rnacentral:rRNA from 1 species